GUCUACGGCCAUACCACCCUGCACGUGCCCGAUCUCGUCUGAUCUCAGAAGCUAAGCAGGGUCGGGCCUGGUUAGUACUUGGAUGGGAGACCACCUGGGAUUACCAGGUGCUGUAGGCU
rnacentral:rRNA from 1 species